ensembl:miRNA
ACGGGACAAAAGUCUUGCAGCUGGGGCUGUGGGACCUGGGUCUUGUGG